rnacentral:lncRNA from 1 species
UAUGCCAUAGAUGGCUGAGACCUGCUGCUGAUUGGAUUCCUGAAUUUCUGGUCCCAUUUGUCUCCUCCAGCACAAGCUGGGCCACUGGACCAAUUGCCCCCAGAAUUACUCCUCCGAACAGAGAUGAGUGAGCAAACAGUUGUCUAUACAGAGUUGAAAGCAAAAAAGUCCUCUCC